rnacentral:ncRNA from 1 species
UUUGGUCGCCACGAAGGCGUGAAAAGGGAAUGCCGUGAGAGUCGGCAACAGUCCCGCUGCUGUGAGCUUCGAGAGUCGAGUUUCGAAGAUGAAAGCCACUGUGUUGCGCAAUAGCGGCAAUGGGAAGGCUGGAACCCGACGGGGCGAGUCAGAAGACCUGCCAAGUCACA